rnacentral:lncRNA from 1 species
UAUAGUACUUAUCAUGAAGAGUCUAUAGUAGUGUAUGACAUAUUUAGUACAAUAAAUUGAUUAAUGUUAGAUGAUAAUAAAAAUAAAUCAACUUUGCUUGGUGUAUGGCUUUAAAAGCUGUACACAUUUACAUCCCCCUCACAAUAAGGGGACCCACAAAUAUUUAAUUCAUGUGGAUCCGUCAAUAUGUGAGGGGAUUGUACACCAUGGUGUACAAAUGACUUUUUCCAAAAUAAAUUAUCAUCUAUUCCUGUGAAAUCAUAAAUUACAUCAUUAUCCCCGACAAAAUCUCUUUCGAAAUUGGCAAUAAUUAUUUGAGUGCAUCAAUUUUUGAUACAUCCAGUCUAAGAAAAAUGAACGUGCAGGUAUAAAUCAAUCACCCAAAAAAAAAAAAAAAAUCCCAUCCCUACAAUUUUCCAAAAUGAAGAAGUAAAUUUAUCUCUCGAUCGAUUGCACCAGGCUUUAGAUGUAAACAUUUCUGACCAUCUGAUUUGAUUACUGUGGCGCAGUAAUAUGUGAAGGACAAGUUGGCACCCCAGAAGCAGAUGACUGUAUGUCUAUUGGGGCAAAAUUCCAACAUAGGCAAGAAAAAAGGCAAAUAUCAUGUGGGAUAAUAAAUGCAAGCAUUCUUGCCCUUGCCAAACUAUUUAAGAGGUAUGAAUGUUUGAUCAAGCUGAGGUGACAUCUCUUUACUAGGGUUAUGGUAUACUUCCCCUAAUCUUUGAUGCAUUUCUCCGCUGAUUAUUUGUUUGGUACAGUAGACUGAACAAUUUUUUGAUUGUAUAAUCAAGUCUCUGUUUGAUGGAAGGAAUUCACCUAGUUCUUCUAAGCAAUAUGACUUGCUUCAUUAUCAAAUAACUGUUUUCUUUUGUCGAGUGCUGAAUAUGGGCUUUGAAUUUGGUUGGGGUCCUUUCACCAUCGUGCUACAAUGCCAUGAUAAUUAUUGUGAAAUGGAUUGCGCUUAGAAAAUUAGUAAGGUGCUCUAAUACGGCCAAAAUUUUUNAUCAUGUGGGAUAUUAAAUGCAAGCACACUUGCCCUUGCCAAACUAUUUAAGAGGUAUGAAUGUUUGAUCAAGCUGAGGUGACAUCUCUUUACUAGGGUUAUGGUAUACUUCCCCUAAUCUUUGAUGCAUUUUCUCCGCUGAUUAUUUGUUUUGUACAGUAGACUGAACAAUUUGUCGAUUGUAUAAUCAAAUCUCUGUUUGAUGGAAGGAAUUCACCAAGUUCUUCUAAGCAAUAUGACUUGCUUCAUUAUCAAAUAACUGUUUUCUUUUGUCGAGUGCUG